UACAGAGGGUGCAAGCGUUGUUCGGAAUUAUUGGGCGUAAAGCGCGUGUAGGCGGCUUUGCAAGUCGGGUGUGAAAGCCCUCAGCUCAACUGAGGAAGUGCGCCCGAAACUGCAUGGCUUGAGUACCGGAGAGGAUGGUGGAAUUCCCCAAGUAGAGGUGAAAUUCGUAGAUAUCGGGAGGAGCACCAGUGGCGAAGGCGGCGAUCUGGGCAGAUACUGACGCUGAGGUGCGAAAGCGUGGGGAGCAAACAGG
rnacentral:rRNA from 1 species